ensembl:snoRNA SNORD24 Small nucleolar RNA SNORD24
UGCAAUGAUGACAAUUAUUUGCUACUCUCGACUGGAUGGAUGACGAUACUCAACCACCUAUAUUUAUGAUCUGAGCCA